rnacentral:misc_RNA from 1 species
GACGUCAUGAUCAUCUACGCGUAGAACGCUGAAGUGCCGGGUUAUCGGGCGCAUUUAGGUGCAAGAGGUCCGCCGAACAGGUGUGUUGCAAGAUCCCAUAUGACUGAACUUUAUUUUGGAGCAACAAGAUUGCCACCUGAAGUUAAAUUGCUCCGCUCUCAGAAUGAGGUGAUAUCGGAAGGAGAGGUUAAGGGCCUCAUCCAAGGGUGCCGGACGCGUGGCACGCGGCUCUGGUAGAGGCCAUGUGCGGCCCCCUGCCUCCGACGCCAGCUGCCCCGGACGUCACGGCGCCCGUCCACUGGCAGCUGGACAUCGUCAUCAACCACAGCGAGCGAGGAAGGAUUCUAGAGCCUUCUGUCGGACUGGGCAUACCAAGCAGCUCAGGGGAGACCACGUACCUUCAGUUUCCGAAAGCUCAAUUUCUCCGCUUCCGCCAAGAGAUGGCAGUGAUGCAGCGUGAAAUGGAGUCCGCCGAGUCCAAGGCUGGCAUUCGACCCAGCUGAGUAACAUGUGGUUUCGAUAAGUUGUGUGCUCUGUGAACCUUUGUCGAAGAGGAAAAUGGCAUGUGCUACUCAUCCACGCUAUGUUUAUCGAAUAUUUCCAAAGGCAUCGGUGCUGCUGAUCGGGCAAACAGCCUGUUGUGUGAGGACUUCUUUUGUCUGCGCCCCUGAGACCGAAAGAACCUACUUCAACACCACAGAAGAAAUGAAAAGUAUGACGCUCCCUUGCGAGUGUGGAGGCGGAUUGGGACGUGUGUAAACAGUUGAAAAGGAAACUUUGGCUCGGCACGUUACCGUUUUGCAGCGACAACACACAAUGACACGUGGGCUGGACGGCCGUUGAAAACGCGCUGAAUCAUGUGCCUGUAUGUGUAUGGGUGUACCUGACUGGAGUCAACCGCGCUGGGAGCUUAUAAAAGUGAUCAUCUACGAUCGUAAUA